rnacentral:rRNA from 1 species
CGUAGGAUGCAAGCGUUGUCCGGAUUCAUUGGGCGUAAAGAGUUCGUAGGUGGUCUGUUAAGUUUGGUGUUAAAGAGCGGGGCCCAACCCCGAUGGUGCACUGAAUACUGGCAGACUUGAGUGCGGUAGAGGUAAGUGGAAUUCCAAGUGUAGCGGUGAAAUGCAUAGAUAUUUGGAAGAACACCGGUGGCGUAAGCGACUUACUGGGCCGUAACUGACACUGAGGAACGAAAGCUGGGGUAGCGAAUGGGAUUAGAUACCCCAGUAGUCCCGGCUGUAAACGAUGGAUACUAGGCGUUGUGGGUAUCGACCCCCGCAGUGCCGUAGCUAACGCGAUAAGUAUCCCGCCUGAGUAGUACGGCCGCAAGGUUG